rnacentral:rRNA from 1 species
GGAUGAACGCUAGCGAUAGGCUUAACACAUGCAAGUCGAGGGGCAGCACAAGGUAGCUUGCUAUCUGGGUGGCGACCGGCGCACGGGUGCGUAACGCGUAUGCAACUUGCCCUAUACAGGAGGAUAACCCGUCGAAAGACGGACUAAUACUGCGUAUGCUCACAACUUGGCAUCAAGUGGUGAGGAAAGAAAUUCGGUAUAGGAUAGGCAUGCGUCCCAUUAGCUUGUUGGUGAGGUAACGGCUCACCAAGGCAACGAUGGGUAGGGGAACUGAGAGGUUUAUCCCCCACACUGGUACUGAGACACGGACCAGACUCCUACGGGAGGCAGCAGUGAGGAAUAUUGGUCAAUGGGCGCGAGCCUGAACCAGCCAAGUCGCGUGAAGGAUGACUGUCUUAUGGAUUGUAAACUUCUUUUAUACGGGAAUAACAAGAGUCACGUGUGACUCCCUGCAUGUACCGUAUGAAUAAGCAUCGGCUAACUCCGUG